GGAGCUGUGCCUGAGUGGCCGAAAGGGACGGUUUGCUAAACCGUUGUACCCGAAAGGGUACCGAGGGUUCGAAUCCCUCCGGCUCCGC
rnacentral:tRNA from 1 species